rnacentral:rRNA from 1 species
UACGGGGGGGGCAAGCGUUGUUCGGAAUUACUGGGCGUAAAGGGCUCGUAGGUGGCCAACUAAGUCAGACGUGAAAUCCCUCGGCUUAACCGGGGAACUGCAUCUGAUACUGGAUGGCUUGAGUUUGGGAGAGGGAUGCGGAAUUCCAGGUGUAGCGGUGAAAUGCUUAGAUAUCUGGAGGAACACCGGUGGCGAAGGCGGCAUCCUGGACCAACACUGACACUGAGGAGCGAAAGCCAGGGGAGCAAACGGG